AACUGUAACAAGAAAAAGAGGAGGGGGAAAAAAAAAAAAAAAAAGGAAAAAGAGAAAAGAAUAGUGGAUCAAUAACAGUUAUAGGGCAGUCUACCCAAAGCCUUUGCAAAAUGUUUCUUUGGUGAUGAUCAAGACUGAUGAUGACCAGAUCAUAAGGAAAACAUUUCAAACCUGCUUAGGUUCUUGAAAAAAAGUUCUGCUUCUUCUUCACUGACUAUUGCCUUCAAGAGAAAGGCACUUAAGAAUGUAUAGUCUUGACCUGCACAGAAAGAAGCAACAGUGCAAGGUGCAAUAAUCUUGCAGUGCCGUUACCAUCAAAAAUCUCAUCUCCAGUAUUGCAUUUAAAUAACACUGGCAAACAAGAAAAGAAAGCACUGGAAGUGUCCUAGUGAAGAAGGUGAUCAGGGACCAGAUCUUGGCCUGAGAUAAUGAUGUUGGUGGUGCCCUUUAAUGAUGCUGAUGACAGUGCUCUUGGGAUCAGAUGUAAUUUUCCUUCCUAUAAAAGUCCUUUUUGGCAUGUGCUUUUGAUACUUGAGUGUUUUUCAAUACUCAACAAUGCGGUUCCUUGUGAUAUUUCUCUCCUAUAUUAAAACCUGGAGGGUUUAACAGAAGAUUACAGAUUGGAUAUCUGAGCAUGGUGCCCAGCACUGCAGCAAGCUGCAUUAUAGGCUUCUUAAUGCUUAUUCUGACUAGUGCUGAGAGCAUUUUAAAGGAAAAUAUAAUUAAAAAUAUACAAAUAAAUUUCUUCUUUAGAAACAAACUCAAAUAAAAGUUGGGAUGAAUUGUUACUCUAAGCAUUUGAAAUACUUAAUCUGCAAAGCAUCAAAACAUUUCAAUUUUACAUACACCAUUUCCUCCCAAUGACACUAAUGAGUGCGUAGAAACUUGCAAAGUGCCAUUGAAGUGUCAUGAUGAGCAGAGCUAUGACUGUGGGAAACCAUGGCAGCCCUGAGGGAGCAGCCAGCUCUUAUGCUGCCGCCGCUCACCAACAUCCCAUAUAUACAACAGCCAUCCACUGCUGCAGACACACGUGCCUAUCAGCGGUGACUUGAAACAACCUCCCUUUCAAGCCCAUAGCACGCAGCACAGCAACUACUCACCUCUCAGACCCAAGCAAGAACUCUAGAAACCAAGAUCUCCACAUCCCAUCACAAAAGGUAUUUGCAGUCAUAUAGAUCUUUACAGAGCCAAAACAUUUUGUAGCCAGCAAUUAAUCUCGAUAUAUCCCCCAUCUGUUUAUUCAUUUGCCUUUUUCAGGGUGUGGGGAGGUGUUCUUUUUAAAGAUGCAUAGACAUGAAGAAGAUUUAGAGGCCUUUUACUGACAAGGGUGUUGGGUUCCCUCAGUUGAUAUAUAUAUUGGAGUUUGUUUAUCACUGCAUGUCCAAGAAGAACUUACAGAAAAACAGAAGUGAAAUGCAGCUGUCUGGUUGAUUUCUUUCUUAUUAACACGUCUAUUGUGUUAACAGGUAAAGCAUUCAACAGAUUGGUUAAAAUUCUCCACAGUUUUCAUUUUUAUGCUUUCUUCAAAACUCCCUGUAGCAAUGAGAGAAUUGAUGUUUGGGAUAUUUCUGUCAGUUGGCUCUGAACUUUUAAGUCUACCAGUGUGAAGUUGGUAGAGUCAGAAAGGAAGGGAUUUUCUAAAAGGAAAAUAAAACAAACCCCAAAAAAGAAGACAUCUAGAUUUGAUAAGGGACUGUUUUACGUCUGCUCCUUUCUUUCUCUUAUCACUUUAUAUGAAAAGCAAAGGAGAUCUUGUGUUUUGCCCAGCAGCAUAGCCAUGUUGUAUUCUCUGGGGAUUUGUGCAGGAAAGCCUGCUGAAGGAGCAAGCCAGUGCUUUGUUUCCACGUAAUUUUAAUUUGAUUUGCUAGGGUUAUCUGGAGUCUGGACCAGCAACUGGCCACCGUGUCCAGACUUGUCACUGAAAACCCCAAGCAAUCUAAAACAUGAAAGGUCCCCACCACAGACAAGAACAAAGUUUGGGUUGAAACCCAAGGUUGCAUCUGGGGUGACAAGCACCUUCAAUGAACCUAGCAUGGCUUCUGUAGAUGCAAAUGCCAGGCUGCAAGGCCCGGAAUGGCCUCCAUCCCUGUGCCACCCACCAGCCGGGAGGUCUGCCCUGCCUGGUGCUCCUUGGGGCUCACCUCUUCAGGCCUGCUAAGCAGAGGGGCUGCAGAUGGGUGAGGGGACCAGCUCUGAGAUCUCAUGGGACCACACUGCAGGGCACUACAGGGGAAUAAUGUGGGCAGGAUUAAGCAGCAGACUUGCUUCCCUCUCAUAGCACUGACUGGAAGGUCUCCAAAAUGCAUCCAUGCUUCUCCUGUGCCCACUGACGCUGACUUCUCCCUUGUUCUGUCACCACCAUGCUGUAGUUACAGGCAGUGUGGAAAAGAAGGAACAGGAUUUGCUAUGAAGGCAAGAGCAGGGGAGACAGAGAGCAGGUCCCUGCUUUUAAGUGCCUCUGCUGCUGAUGCUUGGGAAGCUGAAGCAGGGCAAGAGACUGCCUCAGUCCACCCACGGCUGGGGUGAGGGCAGUGGGCGUCACAAUAACACAUGCCAAGUGUUUAAUUUUUCCAGAGGAACACUGAAAGCAAUGAUGUUGCUGCUCUCGGUGGCUGGAGUAGGCCCUCAGUAGGCGGGAAUGAGAUUAGAGACAAAUCUCCCCUCCUUCACCCUUCUGCUAAAGGCUUUGAUUGAUUUCCUGUGGGUGUUGGUGAAACCCUUUGUGCCAGAAAGGAAUUGAAAUACUUGAUUAGACAUACAGCUGAGAUUUAAAAGUAUGCUUUUUCUUUCUUCCUUUCUUUCUUUAAAAAAAAAAAAUUAUUUUUUCCUUAAUUUGGUUUAUAUUUAUGCAAGUGAUAUGCUAUUACAGCAGGGCUUUCCUCAUAAGGGGAAAUAAGAAAAUGCCUCAGAAAAUGCCGCUUUUAAGCAGGAAACAUGACCUGAUGUGAUCUGCAGAUGACCUCAGAAGAGCAGCCACUGUAGCAGGUGGUUAUUCACCCUGGCAUGGCUGCUGAGCUACAGGCUGCAUCUCUCCAGCCACCUCACUUCUCCGAAUAUAAAGGAACAUGGUUGUUCCACACACUGCUAGAAAGGAGGGUCUCUUUCUGUAACAAUCCUUUUGCACCCUUCUUGACCUAAGUCUUGAACAACUCUGUAACCUUGAGGCAGAAAAGAAGUUGCACAAACUCUGCAGCACACAGGAUCAAAAUUCAGAACCACAUCUUCCAACUGCAAUAAUACACAGGUACUAUGUUUUGAAAUAACAAAACUUAUGCUCUGUCUUCAAAAGAAGGCAAAACCUUUUGCAUUAAAUUCAGGAGCUGAAAAACAUUACAUUCAAGUAAAUGCAUUGAUGAUGUUUUGUUUUCUUUUUACUGCUUUCCACUUAAAAUGCCGUGAAUGUUUUUAUCUACUUUUACAUUUUCUCAGGGGAGGAAACGAGAGGUUGCAACUGAGUUGGUGAAACUCUAGGAGGUCAGGAAUGGUUUGGGUUAUUGGCAUUCAGGAAAGACUGGUGGGAUUUUUGGCACUCUGCUCUUGGUUUUUAGAACUACUUUGCCCUGAAACCUAUAAGGAUAUAUGUGUAACCACUUCUUUGCUCCAUUGGACUGUUCAUCUUUCCAUUACUUCCCCCUAAAAAAAAACUAGGGACAUCUAAAUAGGGACAUCAGGUACCUGAAUGAGAAAGUGAUCAGAGAGAAACCAUCAAUGCUGGUAUUUAUGUGGACCAAAAGAUGAUGGUUCUGUGUGAGCUAAUGAUUCACGAAGAUGAUCCUGAACUAGUGACGUGUAGAAAGUCCUCGCUGCAACCCAUCUGCCUAAUGCAUCUGGACACAGGUAAUCUCUGGGCUUAUAUUUCUCACAAAUAUGCUUUAAAUGGAGUAAUCUUGACAUUUUCAGUGGAGGUUCCAGCACUUUCUGUGCUUCGCUUUCCCUGUAAAAUCUCAAGCCACUGAAAUCUUGUGUGGUGUCUCUCUUUCAGUGAGGUACCAUCAGACACAAUGAUUGUACCUGGGGUUAUGGGUGCACACAGCUGCCCAGGCAAGGAUCCUACAACACAGUCCAUCACAAGCUUUGUCACCUGCUGUGCUGUCAAAGGCAGAUUCUUCAAGGGCUGCACCUCUCUUUUGUAGGCCUCUCUGAUCUUUGCCUGUGCCUUCCAACUCCAUCCAGACUCCACCCAUCAUCUUCAGGCUCCUCAUCCCAACUGAGGGACACAGUUCCUGCUCUAACGUUUUUCUCAUUUAUUUAUUUAUUUAUUUUGCUAUCCUCAGUGAUGUUUGCUCCUUUCACAGCUCAGCGACAUGCUUUUCUCUGUGCAGCUCCUUGUAUGCACGCCCACUCACUGUUCUACUUGCAGUUAGCUCUGCAUUUGAACAAAAUUACCGCCCUCUGCAAAUCCUGAGAAAGCAAAGCUGCUGCAAAGUCUGUGACAGAGAGCAAACAACGUGCAAACAGGCUGAAAUCCCCCAGCUCCACUGAAACCCACGCUCCCAUUUUCAUUCCUUUUGGUGAACUCACUGGCUCUGGCAAGGGAAACAGCUCAGCUUGGCUCCCCCAGGAUCUUAAGGAGGUAAGUUUGUUAGAAGACAGGAUUAAUCAUAAUAUAAACCAUAUGCUAAUUUCCUCCUAAAAAUCUCACAGGAUUUGCUUCCAGUUUUAAUGUUACGCCUUCUCACUUCACCUCUCACACCUGCUUGAAGACUCCUGAGACUUUUUAGUGUUGCCAGUAAGCAAUCCAACAAAACUAAGAUUAUUUCUGGUCUCUGGGACAUGGUCCCAGGUCCUGUUACUAUCUCACACAGAAGCACAAAUUCCUGUUUUUUUUGUGUUUAUUUGUUUUUCAAGGAAAGGUAGAAGGGAUGUGCCAGCAUUUAAGGCAAGAAAGCAAAAGGAUAGAAAGAAUGUGUGUGAGUGUUAGCUCUAUUGGAGGGGAGAGGAGAGAGCCUCCAAAGAAAUUUUUUCUUGUUUCUCGGUACUUGUCCAAAAUGAAUCUUUGCUGCUGUUCAGGUUAAUCACUAGAUUCCAAACUGCACAAGAGGAAUGAUGCCUAUGAUGCAAAGAAACAGGAAGUACAGUCAUUUAUUAAGCUAUUUGGGUUGACGGCAGGCAGACAAAGUGAGGUAUUUGCUUUCCUCCUCUCUUCGUCAUCAAAGGAAAACAGUGGUGAAACCACUGUCAGAUGGAGUUUUACAAGACUUCAUGUGGUGUACCACGUUUGCCCUGAUCAUGAGUGUGGGGAGCAUGGUGACAAGGCAGAGCAGCUCCUGCUAGGAGAGCAUCAGCAGCCUCAUCGCAGUGUUUGAGCACGACACAGAGCAGGUGGCAGGAGGCAGCAGGAGAUGCAAGCCAGGUCUGUAUGGAGGCCAGCUGCGAGUCAUCUGCUCUGAGUCAUGAGGAGCAGAUUUCCCUACUAGAGCACAGAGAAUUCUAUGUCUUCUCUAACUCCACAUUGUAGCAAAAUCAAGACCUGAAUGGGCAUGUGAGUGAAUGUACAGACAGAAGUGCAUAUACAUAUAAAUCUAUGUAUGUUAAUAUAUUAAUGAGAGCUCUCCACAAGUGAAGAAAAAAGUAAGCAAGCUGAAGAAAUACUUAAGAAAAGCUAUGGACUUUAUGUGUAGCACCUGGCCUUUGUAGCCUUUCUCUCUGUUAGCCUUUCCCCUUGCCUGCCCUUUUCUAAUUUAUGCAAUCCCCCAUUAAAAUAAUGACCCAUGUACCUGAAAGCACAAGAUUUUCCCCAAAACCUUUGUUCAAGAAGGGGAGAAGCAGUGUUUAAACUCAAGCCUUGAUACUUGUGUUUAGUGAUGCAGAGGAUCAGAAAACUAGUAUUAAAUUUACAUUUUAUGCCAUCUUUUCCUUGAAAGAGGCAGUACUUUUUCGUUAUCAGCUAGCUGUAAAUAGCUUCUGUCCUCUCCCAUUAGGUAAACCUGCAGGCAAAGAGGUUCCUGGAGAGCAUCCUUGCUGAGGGCACCAGCCCAAUCCAGCUCUACUCUGCGCUGGUGUUCCCCACUGGAGCAGUGAGUCUGCCUUUCACCUCUGUGAGCACACUGGUUUCCUGAAAUAAAGUGAACAGUGAAGGCAAGUGGAAAGACCAUCUCCCAUGGGACAGAUUUUAGAAGCAACAGUCAUGCUUGCUCAGCGGUAAUACCUGUCACAGCUGAUGGCCUUGGUACCUGAAAGCAAGCCUGAACGAAGGGGGUAGUGUUCUUCGUGAGCAAUAUCCACUGAGAAAAUGAACUCUACUUCAGGCCACAUCCCAUGUUUGCUUAUUUGGAUGAAAAUCUAACACUGAGUGAAAUUUUCAAAAGCAUAAAAAACCCAGGAGUAUAAAUUCCAAUUUCAAGAUGAAAGAAAUGUGGUAAAUCAGUGUGGGCAGGAACUAGCGUCUUUUAAAUGCCAGCUUGGUUACCUCCGUAUUGCACGGCAGCCGGCUGUGGAAGCAGCUCCUGAGGCAUUUGUGAAGGGGGCCUGAAAUACUCUGGAAGAUGCUAUCCCAGAAGAUAUCUUAAUUAUUCAGAUAUUCAGAUUUAUUAUGGGAUUUAUAAUUACACAGGUUGUGAUAGCUGCACUGGUUAGAUCCCAGACUAAUGAAUCUGCACCUCAAUUUACACAUUUAUUUAGGGUACAACACGGCCAUAUCUUAAGCACCCCCACCAGCUGCUUUAUGCCCAUCACAUCGCCACUGCUUGUAAACACUGAACAGAGUUAUGUCCCUGCCUGGUGCCUUUGAGUUUGAGCCUGUAUGUUUAGUAAUGGCAAGAGAAAUGCAAUGCCACGUGGCUUUUCCAGUCAUCACUCAUGUCAUCAUGUGUCAUAAUGCCCAACGAACUUGUGAACAUGCAGGCACCUUAACAUAAACUUUCUCUCAAAACUGGCAUAACAGCCAUCACAGAAGAAAGGUCUGUUCCCCAUCCAUUAGGAAGAACGCGCACACAAAAGAAAUGGAAAAGAAGGAAGUGACCAUCAGCCCUUACAGACAAUGGCAAAGCUGAGAAGUUACUGGCUUAUUUCCUUUAUUAAGCCCAAAAUAACACUUUCAAAAAUCCUGACUUCAUUAAUAAAUCAAAUACCUUCAUUAAAGAAACAUUACUGCCAUUUUCUAUACUUUAUUUUAAGGCAUACAGAAAAAAAAUAUUUAACAAAUGGGUAUACAAUUAAAUGCCAGGGACUGCUAAUUACAGCCCUCUUGAAUGCCUCUGCAAAACAAUGAUACUCAAUACAAUAUGUUAGAAAGGGCGGGGAAAAGAAAGAGGAAGCUGAAGACGAUCUAAUUCAUGUUAGUGCAGAUAUAUGCUUGCCUGUGGCUGCAGGCUGCAAACAAGCCAUCAGUGUAACCCAGAAUGGCAGCCAAAGGAUACUUUAGAUUCACAUCUUUGCUUCUGCUUCUCUAAUUCAUUUCCAAAACAUUUCAUCUCUACCUAAUUAUGGAGUUUAAUGACAGAACGUGAAGGACUGGCUCAGGUUUCAGGCCAUUCCAGCAGAGUUUUAAUGAUACAUUACAUCCUUCAGGUUGCAGAACCUAUAUGUGCUUAGCUGUGAUUUAUCAGCCCUGGCAGAGGCAGGUACUUCAAAGGCAAUCUUAUAUAAAAAAUAAAUUCUGCCUUUGCCAAGCAUCGGAAAAAGCACUGAAUUAAAUUUAAAAAUCAAUUCCUACAGACAAGAGAGUCAUAAAAACUCAGUGGGCUUGUCUAUUUGGCCAACAGGCACGAAAUCAUGAAAGUACAAUUUUGUAAUCAAUAAUAGCAAUACAGCGUAUGUUUUUCGAUUGGAAAAAAUUAAAGAUGCCAAAACAACAUUGAUAAAUACUUAGGCUGAUUUGUGACAGUCCCAUUAAGCAGAAACACAACAUGCAUUUUGAUGAAUUUCCAACUAGUUUAUGUCAUACUAUAGUUUUUAUUUUUCAAAAAAGAAUAUUAAAACUAUUAUAAGCUUUGUCACCUGCUGUAAGGCAGAAUGAUGUAUUUUAUUCACUGCACAUUUCAUUUGAGAGGCAAAAAAGCAUAAUUUACUUCUUUAUAAAAGGGAAAUAUAUAUAACUAUAUAUAUAUAUAAUUUUAUUGG